AGAGUUGUAGGCAAGUAGUUGGACAAAAAGCAAGAAGCUGAUCGAUGUUGCUGGCUUUGGAUUCUUUGUGAACAAAUGAGACAAGGAGCCUGUGAACUCGUGCCAGAAGAGGAAAGGCUGAGCUGAUACUGCAAAGAUGUGGCAGCAGAUGGGAACUUGUGCCUGCAAGUGGGGAGCCUUGGUUUUAAUGAAUGAAAUCUAGCAAGUUCC
rnacentral:lncRNA from 1 species